rnacentral:rRNA from 1 species
AUGAUGACGGUGCUUCUGGCUUUGCUUUGGCAUCGUGUUUCUUCUUGGGGGCAUCGUCUUGGAGUUGUCGAUCAGACUGACUCAGGGCUCGUAGGGGUGGUUGGCGGCAGUUUGCGUUACAUGUCCGUGAGAGCAGUAGAAGCAUCCUCCACAAUCAAGCCCAAGGCAAAAGAUCGAUCGCGACCCCAGAAGACCAAAAUACAGGUUCGCCGUUCACGUGCGAUCGACACGCGCGACAAUGAGCGUCGCCGGCUCACCCGACGCCGCCGGUACGCGGACCGUGUGCAUGGCGCUCAAGAUCCCGGCGACGACGGCCAGCGGGACCGGAACCAGGCCUACAUCGCGGCCCGGAGGUUCGCCGUGCUCGGCUACGAGUGGCAGAUCGACUACCACCCCAACAGUCGCUACCCCUACCACCGCCGUAAAAGCCGGGUCAAGCUCCGCAUCAGCCUCGUUCGCACUCCCUCGCCGGACGCCGGCGCCGUUACGGACGCCGGCGCCGUUACGGCCGCCUUCACUUUCUGCCUGGUGGAUCCUAGCCGGACGCUCAGGCCCUUCCGGGAGGUGGCGGCCCAUUGCCCUGGGUCCAUGCAAGGGACAUCCCAGGAGGUCCUGCUCGUGUCCCGGGCCGCGCUGGAGGCGUCCGGCUACCUCCCGCGCGACGGCAACUGCUUCGUGCAGUGCAAGGCCGUGCUCUCCCGCGAGACGUACACGUAUGGUGGCGACGGAGCCGAGAUCGCCGCCCAUCCCCGUGACCUGGGCCAUGACCUUGGCGACCUCCUGCGGAGCCAGAAGGGCGCGGACGUCACCUUGUUCAUCGGCGCCGAGUCGUUCCGCGCGCACAGGUGCGUGCUCGCUGCGCGGUCGCCGGUCUUCGCGGCCGAGCUCGCCGGAAACCUGAUGAACGACGCGCACGAGGUAAAGGACACGGACGCGGACGCCUUCCGGGCCCUGCUCCGCUUCAUCUACACGGACGCGCUGCCUCCAGAGAUCGAGAAGAUGGGCCGCUGGCCGGAGACCAGGAAGGAGGACCAGGAGGCGGUGUCGAUGGCGCGUCGUUUGCUCGAGGCCGCCGACCGGUACGGCGUGGAACGGCUCAAGGUUAUCUGCGAGGAGAAGGUGUGCGCCAGUGUUGGCGUGGGCACCGUGGCGACCGAUCUGGUCCUGGCGGAGCGGCGUGGAUACAAGAAGCUCAAGGCCAGGUGCAUGGAGUUCCUGGUGGCCAGCCCGGCGGACAUGCUCGCGGUGGCGGCGGCCGGGGGGUGUAAGCUUCUCGAGGCGACCUGCCCCUCGGUUUUGACUGAGAUCCUCACGGCUGUCGCCGCUAGGAGCUGCCAACUCGCACUGGGAGGUGGUGCACUUAGUUAG